AGUGAACGCUGGCGGUAGGCCUAACACAUGCAAGUCGAACGGCAGCACAGUAAGAGCUUGCUCUUACGGGUGGCGAGUGGCGGACGGGUGAGGAAUACAUCGGAAUCUACUUUUUCGUGGGGGAUAACGUAGGGAAACUUACGCUAAUACCGCAUGCGACCUACGGGUGAAAGCAGGGGAUCUUCGGACCUUGCGCGAUUGAAUGGGCCGAUGUCGGAUUAGCUAGUUGGCGGGGUAAAGGCCCACCAAGGCGACGAUCCGUAGCUGGUCUGAGAGGAUGAUCAGCCACACUGGAACUGAGACACGGUCCAGACUCCUACGGGAGGCAGCAGUGGGGAAUAUUGGGCAAUGGGCGCAAGCCUGAUCCAGCCAUACCGCGUGGGUGAAGAAGGCCUUCGGGUUGUAAAGCCCUUUUGUUGGGAAAGAAAAGCAGCAGGUUAAUACCCCGCUGUUCUGACGGUACCCAAAGAAUAAGCACCGGCUAACUUCGUG
rnacentral:rRNA from 1 species